AAACACGCGAGAAAAACAACGCAGGAAUUCGCUAACCACACCCGCCGAGACACCACAGGAAACACAACCCACUCUCUCUCUCUCUCUCUCUCUCUCUCUCUCGACUCCCCCCCCAAUCCGCAGCUCCGCACGCGCUCCUCGCCUCCGCCAUGUCUGGCCUCCUCCGGUGGAGGCGCCUCGCCGCCGCAGCCACGCGCGCCGCCUCCACCCUGACCGCAGCCGAAUGCUCCCCUGCCAUCGCGGCGGUCCCGCCACCGCACCGCCUCCUCCAGGAUCGGCGCAAGUGGGAGGGCCCCUCGUCCUCCUCCGGGGGCGGCUCCUCCUCGUCCUCCUCUAACGACGAGCCGGAGCCGCGGCGUAUCCGCGCGGAGGCCCACUGCCCGCGCUGCUCCAAGCACAUGGACAUCCUCUUCUCCCACCGCGCCCAUCCCCCUUCAGCCCCCGCCGCUGUCGGCGGCUAUCAGACGCUCAACCUCUGUCCCAACUGCCGCACCGCCUACUUCUUCCACCCCAACCACCUCGCGCCACUUCAGGGCACCUUCGUCGAGAUCGGCCGCGUCCGGGCUGACCUGCCCCCGGACGGCGUCAGGGUCAGGGACCCCUCCUCCUGGGAAGCCAUCCGUGCGAGCUCGUCUUCGCGCAACGAUGGGGAUGGUAGUGGCGUGGCCGUGCAUGUGCCGCCCGGGCCACCGUUCCAUCCUAGCCUUAACGUCGUCCGCGUAGCCGGAGGCGGUGGCGGGGGAGGAGCUGCUGGCGGUGGGGGCGAGGAGGGAGGGGGAAAGGACGGAUGGGGCGGGUCGAACCUUGGGAAGGAUUUUCCGACACCUAAGGAGAUUUCCAAGGGGCUCGAUAAGUAUGUGAUUGGGCAAGACCGAGCCAAGAAGGUGCUAUCUGUUGCAGUGUACAACCACUAUAAACGUAUAUACCAUCAGUCUCUACAGAAAGGGUCUGGAGCAGAUUUGGGUUGUUCUGAUGGAGAAGCUGAUGGUGAAGACAAUGUUGAACUAGAGAAAAGCAAUAUACUGUUAAUGGGCCCUACUGGUUCAGGUAAAACUUUGCUUGCAAAGACAUUAGCUCGGUUUGUGAAUGUGCCAUUUGUAAUUGCUGAUGCAACAACAUUGACCCAGGCAGGGUAUGUAGGAGAAGAUGUAGAAUCUAUAUUGUACAAGUUACUUACGGUGGCAGAUUUUAAUGUGCAAGCAGCACAACAAGGGAUGGUGUACAUUGAUGAAGUUGAUAAGAUCACUAAGAAGAUAGUCAAUGUCCCUGAGAAAGGAGCAAGGAAGCAUCCUCGUGGUGAUAAUAUACAGAUAGAUACGAAGGAUAUUCUGUUUAUAUGUGGGGGUGCUUUUAUUGACUUGGAGAAAACUAUAUCAGAGAGGCGGCAGGAUUCUUCUAUUGGAUUUGGGGCACCUGUCCGUGCAAGCAUGAGGACUAGUGGUAUUUCAAGUGCUCAAGUGACAUCGUCCUUGUUAGAAUCAGUUGAGAGCGGCGAUCUUAUAGCAUAUGGACUCAUUCCGGAGUUCAUUGGACGUUUUCCUAUCCUUGUCAGCUUGGCAGCACUAAAUGAGGACCAACUUGUUCAGGUUCUCACCGAGCCAAAGAAUGCUCUAGGUAAACAAUUCAAGAAGUUGUUCAGCAUGAAUAAUGUUAAGCUUCACUUCACGGAUGCUGCACUAAGAAUAAUUGCCCAGAAGGCAAUGUGCAAAAAUACAGGUGCACGGGGCUUAAGGACUAUCCUUGAGAAUAUUCUCAUGGAUUCCAUGUAUGAGAUUCCAGAUACAAAAUCUGGAGAGAAGCGAAUUGACGCAGUGGUUGUAGAUGAAGGUGCAGUAGGAUUGGUGGACCGACCUGGCUGUGGAGCUAAGAUCCUUUACGGCGAUGGUGCAUUUGAUCGUUAUCUAUCCCAGAUAAAGGCAAUGGGAGACGGAGCAGGAAGCGAAGUGGACGGGGAUCCUGACCUUUCUUCGUCAAGAGCCAUGAGCAUGUGAUUUCAUGGUUCCUCUAGCUCUACUGUACACUGUAAAAUCUGAUCCUAGCUGUAUUAAUGUAAAGAAAAAAAACACAUGUGCAGUACCCAUUGCUAAUUCAAACCCCAGCUGUCUGGCCGUCCUCACGCCUUGCAUAAUCUGUAGCAGGAUUGGGAAGUGUAUAGUGGAGCAAGUUGGGUGUCGACGUGUGUGUGAAGGUGAGAGACUUUUUAUGUGAAGAACUGUAAUGCUUGCCAGAUGUUGUAAAACUUCAAACACUGAGAUGAAGGGGCUGAAAUUUAGCAUGGAGAUACGAAAUCAUGUUAUCAGCUCCUUGCCCGAAUUGUGCUGUGUGGUGUACCAGCCUUGCUUGGUAGAAAGAAGAAAGAGAUCCGAAUGCUUUAG
rnacentral:rRNA from 1 species